rnacentral:lncRNA from 1 species
UUUGGCAUGGGAGCCUGCUUCCCUCUCUGCCUCUGCCUGCCUCUCUGUCUGCCUGUGCUUGCUCGCUUUCUCUCCCUCUAUCACUGGCAAAUAAAUAAAUAAAUAAUCUAAAAAAAAAAAAAAAUUCUAGCAAUGGAGUAUCAGUCUCUUUUUCCCCAAUACCGUGAGUGUGUUUCCAGGUCUUCAUUAUUCUCUUAGCAGAAAAUUGGAGGAGGCUGUCAGCAAUUGCAACCACAUGCUAUUUUUAAUGAGAAGCCUCUUAAAAUUUUAAAUAUAAGUUGGAAUCUGUUGAUUUCACUGUCAAUUACAAGAACUC